UGAGGAAUAUUGGGCAAUGCCCGCAAGGGUGACCCAGCAACGCCGCGUGGAGGAUGAAUGUCGUAAGAUUGUAAACUCCUGUUAGAGGGGAAGAAUAGUACCGGUUGGACCGGUAUAUGACUGUACCCUCAGAGAAAGCCCCGGCUAACUACGUGCCAGCAGCCGCGGUAAUACGUAGGGGGCAAGCGUUGUCCGGAUUUACUGGGUGUAAAGGGCGCGCAGGCGGGAUAAAAAGUCAGUGGUGAAAUCCUACAGCUUAACUGUAGAACUGCCUUUGAUACUUUUAUUCUUGAGUUCGGGAGAGAGAGACGGAAUUCCAGGUGUAGUAGUGAAAUACGUAGAUAUCUGGAAGAACACCAGUUGCGAAGGCGGUCUCUUGGUCCGACACUGACGCUGAGGCGCGAAAGCGUGGGGAGCAAACA
rnacentral:rRNA from 1 species